rnacentral:rRNA from 1 species
AUUGAACGCUGGCGGCAUGCCUAACACAUGCAAGUCGAGCGGAUAAAGGGAGCUUGCUCCUGGCUUCAGCGGCGGACGGGCGAGUAAUGCCUAGGAAUCUGCCUGGUAGUGGGGGAUAACGUCCGGAAACGAGCGCUAAUACCGCACACGUCCUGAGUGAGAAAGUGGGGGAUCAUCGGACCUCACGCUAUCAGCUGACCCUAGGUCGGAUUAGCUAGUUGGUGGGGUAAAGGCCUACCAAGGCAACGAUCCGUAGCUGGUCUGAGAGGAUGAUCAGUCACACUGGAACUGAGACACGGUCCAGACUCCUACGGGAGGCAGCAGUGGGGAAUAUUGGACAAUGGGCGAAAGCCUGAUCCAGCAAUGCCGCGUGUGUGAAGAAGGUCUUCGGAUUGUAAAGCGCUUUUAGUUGGGAGGAAGCGCAGUAAGUUAAUACCUGGCUGUUUUGACGGUACCGAAAGAAUAAGCACCGGCUAACUACGUG